CCCACUUGCAAAUCGACAAAGCACCCUUCUUCGAGUUCCAUCCCUCAGAUUCUAUACAUGAGAGAGGGUUUCAAGGAUUAGUCCUACGUCAGAUGAGUAAAAAUUUUUACUGAUCUUGCAUAUUCAUAUUCCCAUUCACCUACUAGCUCAAGCUUUUGGACCGAGCAAGAUAGAGAAAGGAUCUGGAAGUGAGAUCUCACCUC
rnacentral:lncRNA from 1 species